GAGGAAAAGCCUGGUGCCAGCAGCCGCGGUAAUACCAGCUCCAAUAGCGUAUGCUAAUGUUGUUGCAGUUAAAAAGCUCGUAGUUGUGUUUGUUUCCGUCGGCCGGGGCGCGCCGCGCUAAGGCGCGGCGUGUACGGGUCGGUGGAAUGAAAUUUUGGGCUGGAUGGCAUGUGGCCUUCACUGGUCGUGCGUCAGAUGGCCCAUCGUUUACUGUGAGAAAAUUAGAGUGUUCAAGGCAGGCGUUUGUAGUUGAAUAUGUUAGCAUGGAAUAAUGAGAUAUGGCUCCCGUUUGUUGGUUUUGUGAUGUGGAAGUAAGGAUUGAGAAGGACGGUCGGUG
rnacentral:rRNA from 1 species